rnacentral:lncRNA from 1 species
CCAAGGUGGAUGCAGUAUGUUGUGAUGGAGGAUACAGUGCCCAUGAAGGAGGAUGCAGUGAUGAUGCAGUGAUUGCAGUGCGCCUGCAUUUCCACAUCAGCUGGAUGCAGUGUAAAUACACUGGUUGCAGAGCCCCCUGGAGUGUCCCUGAAUGUGGAUGCAGUGCAAAUGCAGUGUCACAGAAGGAAAAUUAAAAUCUCACAAGGUGUAUGCAGAAGGUUGUGAUGGAGGAUGCAGUGCCCGUGAAGGUGGAUGCAGUGAUCAUCCAUUGGUUGCAGUGCUCCCUGAAGUGUCCCUGAAUGUGGAUGCAGUGCCCAUGCAGUGGAUGUUGUGUCACAGAAGGUGGGUGCAGUAUAUUGUGACGGAUGAUGCAGUUCUCAUGAGGUGGAUGCCGUGUCCCUGCUGUACUUUCAGUGCACCCCGCAUUGUCUGGGAAUAUGGAUGCAGUAGUCAUGCAGUGGAUGCAUUGUCCCAUAAGGUGGAUGCAGUAUGUUGCGAUGGAUGAUGCAGUGCCCAUAACGGUGGAUGCCGUGUCCCUGCAGUGGUUGCAGUGCCCCCGGCAUUGUCCGGGAUUGUGGACUCAGUGCCCAUGCAGUGGAUUGAGUGUCCCACAAUGUGGGUGCAGUAUGUUAUGACGGAUGAUGCAGUUCUCCUGAAGGUGGAUGCAGUGUCCCUGCAGUGCUUGCAGUGCCCCCCGUGUUGUCCGGGAAUGUGGAUGGAGUAGUCCUGCAGUAGAUGCAGUGUCCCAAAGGUGGAUGCAGUAUGUGGUGACGGAGGUUGCAAGGCAAAGAAUGUGGAUGUGGUGAUCCUUCAGUGGUUGCUGAGCCCCCUACAGUUCCCUGAAUGUGGAUGCACUUCCCAUGCAGUAGAUGCAGUGUCCCAAAAAGUGGAUGCAGUAUGUUGCAACCGAAAAUGCAGUGCCCAUGAAGGUAUUUGAAGUAAUCCUGCAGUGAUUUCUGUGAGACUGCAGUGCCACUUCAGCUGUAUGCAGUGUCCCUGCAUGGGUUGCAUGCCCCCUGCAUUGUCCCUGAAUGUGGAUUCAGUGCCCAUGCAGUGGAUUCUUUGUCCCACAAGGUGGAUGCAGUAUGUUACGACCAAUGAUGCAGUGCUCAUGAAGGUGGAUGCA